CAAACGUGUGUAUGCACAUAACGAAGGUGCAAUUGUAAUUGUGCGGCUCUCCGGCCUGUCUGGCCCGGCCCUUGCUUCCAACAGAAAGCUGACAAUCUCCGCUGCCUGGGCGAAACACAAAGGUCUCCCGUUCUUCCAAGGCUCCGGCCGAUAACGCUGCGCUGGGGAAUUGUGCGAACUCUGUGGCUCCGGAAAGCUGUUGAAAGUCCGUGAGAAAAUAUCUCCAUUCACCUUACACAUACUGUGUAUACAUACAUUUACUAUAAACACAAAUGGGCACAUAAAAACUAUAAAAUCACUCUAAGAAAGAACUAAAAAAUUGCUCUUUGGCCCGAAAUCUGUCAUUCAGGACAACUGAAAUUUCUCCUUAAGUUGAAGGAAGCAUCAGCUGAGCAAAGUUGCCAUGACAGAGAUCAAGCAAAAUGUUAUUAGGGGAAGGAAGAAGCCCAACCUGUAAACUUUGUCACAUUUAAAGAAUAUACAAGUUUGAGGAAACAGAAGAUUUGCUGAAAAUUGGCAGCAUCUUGUGAGAAGUGAGGAAGGGUGUUGUUUAAGGUGUACAAGCCAGUGGGGUCAGGUAUGUGGCUGGAAGAAGGUGGCUGAGGAUCAUGGACAAAGAUGA